CAUGCCGAUGCUUGGCCCUUGCCAUCCAAGCCGUCUCUAUCUUGGAUGGCCGACAUGGAGAAAGGGGCUGGAGGAGGAAGAUGGAGAAGCCGUGGAUCCGAGGCCUAGAUUGGGGACGAAUUAGCCUUCCUAUAUUAGACACCAAGUCAUUGACUAAAAAGAAAGUGGCGAGAGAAAUCCAUACCUGAUGGAUAGUACAGAAUGGGAUGAAAUCAUAUGUCCCCAGCAAAGCAUCUCCAUAGAAGAGGUAAAGAGAGUGGGGCGGGGGGAGAUGGCCGUCGCUCCCGCUCCCGUGGUCUCGACCGCC
rnacentral:lncRNA from 1 species